rnacentral:rRNA from 1 species
AGUGAACGCUGGCGGUAGGCCUAACACAUGCAAGUCGAACGGCAGCACAGGAGAGCUUGCUCUCUGGGUGGCGAGUGGCGGACGGGUGAGGAAUACAUCGGAAUCUACUCUGUCGUGGGGGAUAACGUAGGGAAACUUACGCUAAUACCGCAUACGACCUACGGGUGAAAGCAGGGGACCUUCGGGCCUUGCGCGAUUGAAUGAGCCGAUGUCGGAUUAGCUAGUUGGCGGGGUAAAGGCCCACCAAGGCGACGAUCCGUAGCUGGUCUGAGAUGAUGAUCAGCCACACUGGAACUGAGACACGGUCCAGACUCCUACGGGAGGCAGCAGUGGGGAAUAUUGGACAAUGGGCGCAAGCCUGUUCCGUCCAUACCGCGUGGGUGAAGAAGGCCUUCGGGUUGUAAAGCCCUUUUGUUGGGAAGGAAAUCCAGCUGGCUAAUACCCGGUUGGGAUGACGGUACCCAAAGAAUAAGCACCGGCUAACUUCGUGCCAGCCGCCGCCGUAA